CCUUAAUCGUCAUACCUUGCAUGUUAAUGUGAAUUCAAGCAGAAAGGAUUGAAAUUGUAUACGAAUGUGUUAUUCCUGUACAUUAAAGUCUCUUCCGAUUGAAAGUGAAACCGAACGGACUGAAUUAUUAUACGUUGUUGGCGGCUAUUCGCAAGAUGUUCGGUGAAUUUGAACCGUGGUGUCUCGAGAUGGCGUCCUUCAUACAAGAAGAUGUGGUUACUAACUACCUUUUUCAGACAAUGGAUACGCUGGAUUACUUGGUGGCGGAAACAAGCUUCCAUCAAAGCCCAGUUACGACUGAAAACACGUAUGACGUCCUGAAAACUCUGGCGUCCUUGUAUGUACAAAGUUCUCGUGCAAGAAACGUCAUUGAAAUUUUAUGGAGAACGUGCUUCUAAAUUAUUUUGAGCAAAUGGGAGUAACACUUUAGUAACAAGUGUGAACAAAUCACACGAAUGAUUGUUCUUGAAAACUUAUUUUGAUCUGAUUUAUUUCCAUUUUUAUGUUUUAUUUUAUUUAUUUAUUUAAUCAU